GCAGGCUGCAACCCGCCUGUAUGAAGUUGGAAUCGCUAGUAAUCGCGGAUCAGCAUGCCGCGGUGAAUACGUUCCCGGGCCUUGUACACACCGCCCGUCACACCAUGAGAGUCGGGAACACCCGAAGUCCGUAGCCUAACCGCAAGGGGGCGCGGCCGAAGGUGGGUUCGAUAAUUGGGGUGAAGUCGUAACAAGGUACC
rnacentral:rRNA from 1 species